GACGAACGCUGGCGGCGUGCUUAACACAUGCAAGUCGAGCGGUAAGGCCCUUUCGGGUAGUACACGAGCGGCGAACGGGUGAGUAACACGUGGGUGACCUGCCCUCAGCUCUGGGAUAAGCCUGGGAAACCGGGUCUAAUACUGGAUAUGACUCCAUGACGCAUGUUGUGGGUGGAAAGCCUUGUGCGGCUGAGGAUGGGCCCGCGGCCUAUCAGCUUGUUGGUGGGGUGAGUGGCCUACCAAGGCGACGACGGGUAGCCGGCCUGAGAGGGCGACCGGCCGACACUGGAACUGAGACACGGCCCAGACUCCUACGGGAGGCAGCAGUGGGGAAUCUUGCGCAAUGGGCGAAAGCCUGACGCAGCGACGCCGCGUGAGGGAUGACGGCC
rnacentral:rRNA from 1 species